UCGGGCAUCUCGUUUCCUUCUGUUAACCUUUCUUUCUCAUCAGAGAGCUGGGAUGUAGCCUUAAGAGAGACUCUGAUUCUAUAUCUCCAAGAGUGGCAGGCCACUGGUGGGGAGGGUAGUUUGAUGAGGUAACCAACUGCUUUCUGCUUGACUCUGAGGCCCACGCCCACUGGCUGGAACACAUGCCUGAAUCUGUAACCCUGGUGAAGAGCCCAGGGGUAGUGAGUUCAAACACCUUAGGCUCUGAAACUCUUCCUCCAGCUGCCUCAGACCCAUGACAAGAGAAGAAAAUCUGCAGAGAGCAAAGCAAAAAGCAACAUAUUUGUGGCUCAAGCUGGAAGAGUGGAAAGAAAGACAACCACUCCAUGGAUCCAAUGGGAUACUGCAAAGUGUUGAACAUCCUCCAACCAUUUUUCCUGGAAUGGGAGAGAUUCAUCAAACGCCAUGACUCAAUUCCAUUUGCGUUAUCACCUCUAGUCAAAUAAAAAUGUCCUGGAAGCUGGGGAUGGUGCAGAUACCUACAGCAUAUGGCCACACAAGGCCAACCUCAGGAUGAAAGCGAAGGAAAUCAGACAGUUGCCCAGAAACUCCCAAGUACUGGCAACGAAUCUGAACGAGAGCUGGAAUUUUUUCACUUUUCAUCUACUCUGUGUAUAACCACGCAAAGAGCUGAAGUUGUCUUGGUGGGAGCUGUGUCUUGGCAACAGCCGGCGUGUUAAGCUCCCUGAGACCGGGGCUGGCAAUGCUGUGAACGCCAUUAUUAAUAUUAAUGUAUUGCUAGAUGUUCCUGCUCAGGUGCUCUGGAGAAUACGCCUGGGCCAUUGCUGGCAGCUGUUGAGUUGCAGUCUGAGGCCUGAUUGUUGAUCAUCUCCAAUGCUCUGUUCACAGAGUCAGGCCUGCUGGAGGGUUGGCACUCAAUUUAUCCAUGGUAAACAAGAAGAAGUGUCUGAUAAUGCAGUGGAAAUUUAACUACAAUAGUUCUUAUUCUCAAAAAAAAAGGUGGUUCAAACCU